rnacentral:rRNA from 1 species
CAGUCGAGCGGAACGACUUAACUGAACCUUCGGGGAACGUUAAGGGCGUCGAGCGGCGGACGGGUGAGUAAUGCCUGGGAAAUUGCCCUGAUGUGGGGGAUAACCAUUGGAAACGAUGGCUAAUACCGCAUAAUAGCUUCGGCUCAAAGAGGGGGACCUUCGGGCCUCUCGCGUCAGGAUAUGCCCAGGUGGGAUUAGCUAGUUGGUGAGGUAAGGGCUCACCAAGGCGACGAUCCCUAGCUGGUCUGAGAGGAUGAUCAGCCACACUGGAACUGAGACACGGUCCAGACUCCUACGGGAGGCAGCACUGGGGAAUAUUGCACAAUGGGCGCAAGCCUGAUGCAGCCAUGCCGCGUGUAUGAAGAAGGCCUUCGGGUUGUAAAGUACUUUCAGCAGUGAGGAAGGUGGAUGCGUUAAUAGCGUAUUCAUUUGACGUUAGCUGCAGAAGAAGCACCGGCUAACUCCGUGCCAGCAGCCGCGGUAAUACGGAGGGUGCGAGCGUUAAUCGGAAUUACUGGGCGUAAAGCGCAUGCAGGUGGUUUGUUAAGUCAGAUGUG